AAAGAAUCACUUUUUCUAAGUAUGUCGGAGUGAUUGAGCAGAGAGAAAAAUGAAUACCCUAAGCGAACUAGAAAUCUGGAAAGAACCGAAAUAGAGGCAGUGUCUCAUGACACUUUACUUGAGGACUCACCUGAUGAACUGCUGAUCAACUCUAUAGAUUCCUUCACCUAACCAGAACUGACUUCAUCAGAGAGUUAUGAUGGUUAACUCUAUCAGUCUUCUACCUGAAUGCCCCAAGAUAUUGAUGAAGUCAACAAAAACAUUGAGCCUCAGAACACAAGAAAUCUUGGACAAACUGGGAGACAGCUUGUCAGUAUCUAAGGUUGCCAUCUGGAGUUUUAAGUAAUUGUCUACUACUGAAGAAACAAGACCCAGCAGACCCUCAGAUGGAACUGAAGUCUCUGUCUUGUCCUGGAGAUGUCCCCCAUCUCCUCAUCCCCAUCAGCUGAGGAUUUCCAUUUGUUUACAUGGCCCUCCAGGAUCUCUCCUGCACUUCCCCAGACUUGAUCCUGAAGCCUCCAUUUCCCUCCCUAUAGUUCCUCUGCACACCCACCUCCCAUCUCUGGUAGACCCACAACUCCUCCAAACUUCAAAAAAGUGCUGACCUUCCAGGGACAUCAACCAAACAUGGCAUAACAGGGAAUGCAUCUGGAAAAGAGACUACCAGCAGAAGAGCAUAAAGGGGCGUGGAAGCCUAAACUGAACGAAGACCAAAGUGUGGACACUUUGCCCCUUCUUAGAAUUUGAAACAAUCACCCAUGGAAGGAGU
rnacentral:lncRNA from 1 species